rnacentral:pre_miRNA from 1 species
AAAAUACUCCCUCCGUCCCAAAAUAACUGUCUUAAGCUUAGUACAAUUUUGUAUUAGAGCUAGUACAAAGUUAAGACAGUUAUUUUGGGACGGAGGGAGUACAAA